UCGAAAAUUUUGACCCAUACAAUGUAUUACUACAAAUAUACCUGUGCUACUUAAGAUUGGUUCUGUGCUCCAGGGUCACAUAUUUAAAACUCUUAUUUGAGUCCUCCAUUUGAACCCUUCAAAUAUGAUCAUGCCAGCCACUGCUGCCCUCUGCUGUUCAGAUAUAAAAGAUGCAGUUUCUGUAUUUUGAUACACAUGUAUCAUCACAUUUUUCUUCUGCAAGCUACUAUCAGUGGCCCGGCACACGCAGGCAACGGAUGCUUCCUUUGGAUGACUGAGAGUGUCUGAGUGAUACAUCACUGACUUUUUAGGAAAGAUGAGUUUGAAGUAGAAGGCAUGGUGGAGAGUGAUGACAUCAGUGCCCUAAUUGGAGAAAUGGAGACGGCCGUUAAUUAUUUUCAGAAGGAUUGGUAUCAAUAAUCUGAAGUUGGACCUUCACAAGCUGAUAUCUGGACCCGAAUGCUGCCAUCACAACUGAUGCCGUCCGUCCAGAAGGGAGUGUCUGCUAAAUACUGCACCAUAUUCCCUAGUUUCCAGAUCAAUGUAAGCACAGUGCAGUCUGGCAUGAUACUGAAAAUAUGUAUUUUUUAUAUGACAGGUCAUCUCUGAUGCUGCAUUGCAUAUGAAUGUGGCCAUUUGUAUUGAUCCUUGGUCAAGAU